rnacentral:lncRNA from 1 species
CGAUAUAUCAAGAUCAGAACACCUAAAUAAUUCCAAUGUUGGAUAUUACAUGGAUAUCAUAAGAAGGUUUCAUUACUAGACCUACAGUAUCCAUUGUUGUUGUACAUGACGUCAUAGUGCAACUCUAGGUGACACAGACUAUGCAGUAACAAUGCAUAUAGUAUGGGAUAUCGACCCUACAGAAAGAAUUCAAGAUAUCUUUUCCCCAUUUUUGCUGGCAGGACAACCGACAUUGUGACUCCGUGCAUACAUGAGCUCCAAAUGCAACUCCACUAAAACAUUGCUCUGUGUAGAGAAGAACACACAUAAUUAAAAUAAGUCCAUAUGGAAAAACUUCCAGAGAUAUUUGUGUAGUUCAUCUGAAAAUAUUAUUCUAGUCUGGUUGAUACCUGAAAGGAAAUAUAUAUAGGGAAAGGGAGAGCAAUUUCUUACCAACAUGAAUAGAAUUUCCGAGCUGCACAAUCACCAGGAGGCAAAGAAGAAUAGUUCUCCCUUCCAUUACACUAGACAGAAUGAUCUUCUCCUCUCAGUUUUGGUGUACAAAAGCGUACCCA